rnacentral:rRNA from 1 species
UACGUAGGGUGCGAGCGUUAAUCGGAAUUACUGGGCGUAAAGCGUGCGCAGGCGGUUCGUCAAGUCUUGUGUGAAAGCCCCGGGCUCAACCUGGGAAUGGCAUGGGAAACUGGCGAGCUGGAGUGCGGCAGAGGGGGGUGGAAUUCCGCGUGUAGCAGUGAAAUGCGUAGAGAUGCGGAGGAACACCGAUGGCGAAGGCAGCCCCCUGGGUCGUACACUGACGCUCAGGCACGAAAGCGUGGGGGAGCAAACAGG